CACUAUGAGGAUUGACAGAUUGAUAGCUCUUUCUUGAUUCAGUGGUUGGUGGUGCAUGCCGUUCUUAGUUGGUGGAGCGAUUUGUCUGGUUAAUUCCGAUAACGAACGAGACUCUGGCCUGCUAAUUAGUGCAUCUGUCCACUGUUCCUGUGUAGCGGCGUUCAACACGGCUGCUUCCGUUCGCUGCUGUGGCUUGCAGGCUCCUUCGGGUGUCAGUGGGUUUGCAGUAGUUGGAAGUGGCUUGCUUGGCGUUAGCUUCCGGGUACGGCGCGGAUGUUUACUUCUUAGAGGGACAAUCGGAUGAAACCGCACGAAAUAGAGCAAUAACAGGUCUGUGAUGCCCUUAGAUGUCCGGGGCCGCACGCGCGCUACAAUGACGGUGGCAACGAGUCAGACCUUCUGGCCCGAAAGGGUUGGACAAACUGGUCAAUCACCGUCAUGACAGGGAUCGGGGCUUGUAAUUGUUCCCCGUGAACGAGGAAUUCCUAGUAAGUGCAAGUCAUAAGCUUGCGCUGAUUACGUCCCUGCCCUUUGUACACACCGCCCGUCGCUACUACCGACNNAAUGGUUUAGUGAGGUCAUUGGAUCGGCGCCAUUGUGGCUAUUACCGAAAGGUGGUGGUCCGACGUGUGCUGAGAAGACGACC
rnacentral:rRNA from 1 species